GGCUUUUGAUCUUGUAGGAGCUGCCGCAGGCUGCGAUCUUUUGAUCUUGUUGUUUAAAAAGCAAAGUCAAAAGAUCGCAGCCUGCGGCAGCUCCUACAGGACUA
rnacentral:misc_RNA from 1 species